UUCCGGUUGAUCCUGCCGGACCCGACUGCUAUUUGGGUGAGAAUAAGCCAUGCGAGUUGAAUGGAAUACCUAAAUUUUCCAUGGCAAACUGCUCAGUAACACAUGAUCAACUUACCCUAUAGAGAAAAAUAACCUCGGGAAACUGAGGAUAAUGUUUCAUAGUUGAAAAGGCUUGGAAAAGUUUUUCAAUUAAAGGGAUAAGAAAAAUGGUUCUUAUCUGCUAUAGGAUAGGAUCGUGGUCGAUUAUGGUUGUUGGUGAGGUAAUGGCUCACCAAGCCGAUAAUCGAUAGGGGCCGUGAGAGCGGGAGCCCCGAGAUGGGUACUGAGACAACGACCCAGGCCUUACGAGGCGCAGCAGGCGCGAAACCUCCGCAAUACACGAAGGUGUGACGGGGUUACCCAAAGUGUUCAAUUUUGAACUGUGGUAGGUGAGUAAUGUUCCCUACUAGAAAGGAGAGGGCAAGGCUGGUGCCAGCCGCCGCGGUAAAACCAGCUCUUCAAGUGGUCGGGAUAAUUAUUGGGCUUAAAGUGUCCGUAGCCGGUUUAGUAAGUUCCUGGUAAAAUCGGGUAGCUUAACUAUCUGUAUGCUAGGAAUACUGCUAUACUAGAGGACGGGAGAGGUCUGAGGUACUACAGGGGUAGGGGUGAAAUCUUAUAAUCCUUGUAGGACCACCAGUGGCGAAGGCGUCAGACUGGAACGUGCCUGACGGUGAGGGACGAAAGCCAGGGGAGCGAACCGGAUUAGAUACCCGGGUAGUCCUGGCCGUAAACGAUGCAUACUAGGUGAUGGCAUGGCCAUGAGCCGUGUCAGUGCCGUAGGGAAACCGUUAAGUGUGCCGCCUGGGAAGUACGGUCGCAAGGCUAAAACUUAAAGGAAUUGGCGGGGGAGCACCACAAGGGGUGAAGCCUGCGGUUCAAUUGGAUUCAACGCCGGGAAUCACUAGUGCGGC
rnacentral:rRNA from 1 species